UUGGUAUUGGUUUCUAGUGGCUGCAUAUUAAAAAAAAUAAUGCAUUUUUUUAAACAAAUUGUUUAUAUCGUAGGUUUGUAACUUUGAUAUAUGGAGGUUGUUAACCAAUAUUAGACUUUUAGUCUUUUAAAAGAGAAUUUUGCUAUUCUGAACUUGCAUCUUGUUUAUAUUUGGACAAAUUACAUCUUUUUACGUUAAGAUAGUAGCCUAGUACUUAAUAGCACCAAAUUGAAAGGAGUAAGGAUUCAAUAAAAUAAAACUUCACUAAAGGGCUUAUAACAAAAGCACAAAAUUUCAGAGGUUCUUUAAUAGGUGUUUCCAAG
rnacentral:misc_RNA from 1 species